UGGCUCAGGACGAACGCUGGCGGCGUGCCUAAUACAUGCAAGUCGAGCGAAGAGAUGGGAGCUUGCUCCCUGAUCUUAGCGGCGGACGGGUGAGUAACACGUGGGCAACCUGCCCUGCAGACUGGGAUAACUCCGGGAAACCGGAGCUAAUACCGGGUAAUACAUCGCACCGCAUGGUGCAAUGUUGAAAGUUGGCUUUCUGAGCUAACACUGCAGGAUGGGCCCGCGGCGCAUUAGCUAGUUGGUAAGGUAAUGGCUUACCAAGGCGACGAUGCGUAGCCGACCUGAGAGGGUGAUCGGCCACACUGGGACUGAGACACGGCCCAGAU
rnacentral:rRNA from 2 species